UACGUAGGGUGCAAGCGUUGUCCGGAAUUAUUGGGGCGUAAAGAGCUCGUAGGCGGUUUGUCGCGUCUGCUGUGAAAACUCGGGGCUUAACCCCGGGCCUGCAGUGGGUACGGGCAGACUAGAGUGCGGUAGGGGAGACUGGAAUUCCUGGUGUAGCGGUGAAAUGCGCAGAUAUCAGGAGGAACACCGGUGGCGAAGGCGGGUCUCUGGGCCGAUACUGACGCUGAGGAGCGAAAGCGUGGGGAGCGAACAGG
rnacentral:rRNA from 1 species